UACGUAGGGGGCGAGCGUUGUCCGGAGUUACUGGGCGUAAAGCGCCCGCAGGCGGUCCGUCGCGUUCCGCGUGACAGCUCCCGGCUUCACUGGGAGAGGAUGGGGAAAACGAGCGGACUUGGAGGCUCAGAGAGGGACAUGGAAUUCCGGGGGGAGCGGUGAAAUGCGUAGAGUUCCGGAGGAACACCAAAGGCGAAGGCAGUGUCCUGGCUGAGACCUGACGCUCAGGGGCGAAAGCGAGGGGAGCGAACGGG
rnacentral:rRNA from 1 species